AUUACAUCUCAGUCUUUUGGCUAAGAUCAAAUUAGUAUCUGUUCUUAUCAGCUUAAUAUCUGAUAUGUCCUCUAUCCAAGGGCAACAUAUUAAAUGGAUUUUUUGGAAUAGGAGUUGGACUAGAAGCUUGCUCCAUCCACUCUCCGCUUCAACCUGGUAUUGCAGUAUCUCCACAAACGGUGAAAUCCCA